UCAGAUCCCCAAAAAUUCAUGAAAUGAACUUAAAAGCAGUGAAGAAAAAAGAAAACAGCACAGGGUUUUUAUUUUAAUUUUUAGUUGCCUUUUUUGGAACCUUAGGCUUCUUGUGUUUUCAAACUUCUCACUACAAACAUGUAGCCUAGAAACUUUCUUUUCAACACAUAAUUGCACAACAGGGGCCUUAAGGACAUACUAUGCAACUUGCAAGAAAAUAACUGGAUUUGGCACCAUCACCAAGGCAGACACAUACAUCAUUAUUCCAAAGGAAGGCUUGCUGGACUGGCUGCACUGCAGAGCACAAACUGGCCUCUACUUCAGUCCCGUGACUCAGAAGAGAAAUGUGUCCUUGACAAGCUGUCUCCUAGCACAGAUACAUCUGGAACAUGCAGCAAUCUUUGGAAAGGUUGAAUAAAGCUAGAGAUGUUCAUUGCCAAGGUACUCAGCUCCUCUUGUGCACUGUGCCUUGGAGUGUGACUUGUGCAGCCUCCAGAGGGAACUCUGACUGCUGCACACUUGGGAAAGACCCUCUGCUCCUUGGGAACCUGCUACCUCUGCUUUCUGGAGAUGCCUGGUCAGUGGCUUAGUCAUGGCUUUUGGCUUCUCUUCUGCCAUCUAUCACGAGUUCCUGGGUGGUCCAGCUCAGUGAAUGCAUCUGUCUGUAAAAUAACCAUCCGGGUAGAAACAAAUUGUAAUGCUUGAGAAAAGUGUGCUUUUGCAUACAGAUUGUUUAAAAAUCAGUAUCUUUAGUAUUUCCUACUGCCUUCCUAUUUUUUUUUUCCUGCUGGAAGCGGAUGUUGCAUCAAUAAAAGCUAUGACAAAAGACUUGUACUAUACUCA
rnacentral:lncRNA from 1 species